UCGAGCGGACAGAUGGGAGCUUGCUCCCUGAUGUUAGCGGCGGACGGGUGAGUAACACGUGGGUAACCUGCCUGUAAGACUGGGAUAACUCCGGGAAACCGGGGCUAAUACCGGAUGCUUGUUUGAACCGCAUGGUUCAAACAUAAAAGGUGGCUUCGGCUACCACUUACAGAUGGACCCGCGGCGCAUUAGCUAGUUGGUGAGGUAAUGGCUCACCAAGGCAACGAUGCGUAGCCGACCUGAGAGGGUGAUCGGCCACACUGGGACUGAGACACGGCCCAGACUCCUACGGGAGGCAGCAGUAGGGAAUCUUCCGCAAUGGACGAAAGUCUGACGGAGCAACGCCGCGUGAGUGAUGAAGGUUUUCGGAUCGUAAAGCUCUGUUGUUAGGGAAGAACAAGUACCGUUCGAAUAGGGCGGUACCUUGACGGUACCUAACCAGAAAGCCACGGCUAACUACGUGCCAGCAGCCGCGGUAAUACGUAGGUGGCAAGCGUUGUCCGGAAUUAUUGGGCGUAAAGGGCUCGCAGGCGGUUCCUUAAGUCUGAUGUGAAAGCCCCCGGCUCAACCGGGGAGGGUCAUUGGAAACUGGGGAACUUGAGUGCAGAAGAGGAGAGUGGAAUUCCACGUGUAGCGGUGAAAUGCGUAGAGAUGUGGAGGAACACCAGUGGCGAAGGCGACUCUCUGGUCUGUAACUGACGCUGAGGAGC
rnacentral:rRNA from 1 species